rnacentral:rRNA from 1 species
GGACCCGCACAACCAGUGGAGCGUGUGGUUCAAUUCGAGACAAAGCGAAAAACCUCACCAGGGUUUGACAUGUAACCGUACAUUUCCCUAGAAAUAGGGAGAAAUCCGUAAGGAUGGUUACACAGGUGCUGCAUGGCUGUCCUCAGCUCGUGCCGUGAGGUGUUCCCUUAAGUGGGGAAACGAGUGCAACCCUCAUCCUAUGUUAAAUAUUCAUAGGAAACUGCCUUGCUUUGCAAGGAGGAAGGAGAGGCGGAUGUCAAGUCAGCAUGGCCCUUAUACCCUGGGCUACACACACCCUACAAUGGCGAAAAACAACGAGUCGCAAGCACGCGAGUGCAAGCUAAUCUCUCAAAUUUCGCCUCAGUUCAGAUCGCAGUCUGCAAUUCGACUGCGUGAAGUCGGAAUUGGUAGUAAUCGCGGAUCAGAAGGCCGCGGUGAAUACGUUCUCGGGUCUU